rnacentral:rRNA from 1 species
CCUACGGGAGGCUGCAGUGAGGAAUAUUGGUCAAUGGGCUUACGCCUGAACCAGCCAAGUCGCGUGAGGGAAGACUGCCCUAUGGGUUGUAAACCUCUUUUGUCAGGGAGCAACGCCGGCUACGUGUAGCCGGACUGAGAGUACCUGAAGAAAAAGCAUCGGCUAACUCCGUGCCAGCAGCCGCGGUAAUACGGGGGAUGCGAGCGUUAUCCGGAUUUAUUGGGUUUAAAGGGUGCGUAGGCGGAAUGCCAAGUCAGCGGUAAAAUCGCGGGGCUCAACCUCGCUCCGCCGUUGAAACUGCAUCCCUAGAGUGCGCGAGAAGUAUGCGGAAUGCGUGGUGUAGCGGUGAAAUGCAUAGAUAUCACGCAGAACUCCGAUUGCGAAGGCAGCAUACCGGCGCGCAACUGACGCUCAUGCACGAAAGCGUGGGUAUCGAACAGGAUUAGAUACCCGGGUAGUC